GACAGAGGUGCCAAGCGUUAGGCGGAAUCACUGGGCUUAAAGCGUGUGUAGGCGGAUCGGUAAGUACCUUGUGAAAUCCCACAGCUUAACUGUGGAACUGCUCGGUAUACUGCCAGUCUUGAGCCAGCUAGGGGCUACCGGAACAAAUGGUGGAGCGGUGAAAUGCGUAGAUAUCAUUUGGAACGCCAAUGGUGAAAACAGGUAGCUGGGGCUGUGCUGACGCUGAGACACGAAAGCCAGGGGAGCAAACGGG
rnacentral:rRNA from 1 species